GGGGCGAACUGCAGCCCUGCGGGCGGGGCAGACAGAGAAGUGCGAGCUGAAAGUGCACAAGCAUGCCCAGGCUCACAGGCGUUGGAGACCACCCGUCUAGCCCCCGAAACUGCAGCAACCCCUGAAGCCUUGCGAUCGGAUUACAGAGCCCAGCGUUUUCAAAAUAAAAGACCCCCAGCUGGUAAAGGAGGCAGCAGCAGCAGCAGAGGAGUUUCCGGAGCCCCGCAGGACCGACCCACAGGAGGCAGCCGAUCUUAUUUCAAAGGAAAGCCGUUGUUUGACUAAGCUGAGUCUGAGAAACUUCCUUUGAGUGGGCCAGCGUUCAAAGACAGACAUGAAGACCCUCUAGUUUUUGGACCUUACUACCGGCAUGAUUUGGCUGGCUUUCAGAGAGAACAAGCCUAAGACAGAAAUGGCUUGUGGGAGGUUUCUCUGCCGCAACUACACCAGACUUAGAUGUGCAAACAAGAGCAUGAGGGUUUCCCAAGAGAAAUGCAAAGGAAGAGAAAUGUACAGAUGGACCUGAGCUCC